UACGUAGGGUGCGAGCGUUAAUCGGAAUUACUGGGCGUAAAGUGUGCGCAGGCGGCAGAGCAAGUCGAGUGUGAAAGCCCCGGGCUUAACUUGGGAAUUGCGCUCGAAACUACUUUGCUGGAGUGUGGCAGAGGAGGGUGGAAUUCCACGUGUAGCGGUGAAAUGCGUAGAUAUCACUAGGAACGCCGGUGGCGAAAGCGACACGCUGGACCUCUACUGACGCUGAGGCGCGAAAGCCAGGGGAGCAAACGGG
rnacentral:rRNA from 1 species